GACGAACGCUGGCGGCGUGCCUAAUACAUGCAAGUCGAACGAAGCUGUUUUAACUGGUGCUUGCACCGACUUAAACAACUGAGUGGCGAACGGGUGAGUAACACGUGGGUAACCUGCCCCAAAGCGGGGGAUAACAUUUGGAAACAGACGCUAAUACCGCAUAACAACAGAAACCACAUGGUUUCUGUGUCAAAGAUGGUUUCGGCUAUCACUUUGGGAUGGACCCGCGGCGUAUUAGCUAGUUGGUAAGGUAAUGGCUUACCAAGGCAAUGAUACGUAGCCGAACUGAGAGGUUGAUCGGCCACAUUGGGACUGAGACACGGCCCAAACUCCUACGGGAGGCAGCAGUAGGGAAUCUUCCACAAUGGACGAAAGUCUGAUGGAGCAACGCCGCGUGAGUGAAGAAGGUUUUCGGAUCGUAAAACUCUGUUGUCAGAGAAGAACGUGUGCGAGAGUAACUGUUCGUGCAGUGACGGUAUCUGGCCAGAAAGCCACGGCUAACUACGUGCCAGCCGCCGCUGUAA
rnacentral:rRNA from 1 species